rnacentral:sRNA from 1 species
CUGGGGCCUGGGGCAGGAGGGGGAGCCAGCGGGUGGGGUGCAGGGCCAGGGCAGCAUGGAGCCUCAGCCCCUGGCCUUCCUAACCCAACCCUCCUCUGUGACAAGCCCCAACCUAACUAAACCCCUCCUCGCAGUGGGGUGAGGGCACACGAGCAGCUCAGGGUCCCAGCAGGAAGUGGGGCUGCAGGGCUGGGGUGGGUCCUGGGCCUGGCCAUCAGGCGGCCUAGCAGGUUGUUCAGGGCAUGGAGGGGGCCUGGCGUGGCUGAGGGCAUGCCCAGGGCUCCCUGGAAGAUCCUGCUCUGUGCCCUGCCCACCCUGUGCCUGGGGAGCCCUCUGCCCCCACAGCCCACCCACCCCAUUUUCUAUGACCACAGAGCUCCGACCUGGAGGAUGGCUCACCCAGGAGCUCCCAGGAGCUCUCACUCCCCCAGGACCUGGAGGACACCCAGCUCUCAGACAAAGGCUGCCUUGCCGGCGGGGGGAGCCCGAAACAGCCCUUGACAGCUCUGCACCAGGAGCAGGUUUUGCGGACCCCCCACGACGCAGGCCUGAGCAGCGGGGAGCCGCCCGAGAAGGAGCGGCGGCGCCUCAAAGAGAGUUUUGAGAACUACCGCAGGUAGGCGGGCGGCCCCCAGCCUUCUCCAAAACGGAACCCGGUCUGCGCCUGAGACACCUGUGUCUUCGCAGGAAGCGAGCUCUCAGGAAGAUGCAGAAAGGAUGGCGGCAGGGGGAGGAAGACCGGGAGAACACCACGGGCAGCGACAACACCGACACUGAGGGCUCCUAGCCACAGCAGCGCAGGCCCCGACCAGGGCACACCCACCGGCCCGGCCUCCUGCCACCCGGGGGUGCCGACGCCCUGGGGCGCAGACUUCCCCGAGCCGUCGCUCACUUAGCCUGGAACGAGGAAUCUGGUGCCCUGAAAGGCCCAGCCGGACCGCCGGGCGUUGGGGCUUUUAAGCGGCACUCAGCUUGCGGAGGCCAUGCGGGUGCUCGCCACCCCCAUGCACACGCCAUCUGUGUAACUUCAGGGUCUGUUCUGUUUCACUAUGUAACACACAGUACAUGCAUGCAUUGUAGAAGUGUCAAAAAACAUAGCUGCGUAAAUAAAUAAACAGCACGGGUGACCCGCA